CUAGCAUAUCAAUAAGCGGAGGAAAAGAAACCAACAGGGAUUGCCCUAGUAACGGCGAGUGAAGCGGCAACAGCUCAAAUUUGAAAUCUGGCUCUUUUAGAGUCCGAGUUGUAAUUUGCAGAGGGCGCUUUGGCUUUGGCAGCGGUCCAAGUUCCUUGGAACAGGACGUCACAGAGGGUGAGAAUCCCGUACGUGGUCGCUGGCUAUUGCCGUGUAAAGCCCCUUCGACGAGUCGAGUUGUUUGGGAAUGCAGCUCUAAAUGGGAGGUACAUUUCUUCUAAAGCUAAAUAUUGGCCAGAGACCGAUAGCGCACAAGUAGAGUGAUCGAAAGAUGAAAAGCACUUUGGAAAGAGAGUCAAACAGCACGUGAAAUUGUUGAAAGGGAAGCGCUUGCAGCCAGACUUGCUUGCAGUUGCUCAUCCGGGCUUUUGCCCGGUGCACUCUUCUGUAGGCAGGCCAGCAUCAGUUUGGGCGGUAGGAUAAAGGUCUCUGUCACGUACCUCUCUUCGGGGAGGCCUUAUAGGGGAGGCGACAUACUACCAGCCUGGACUGAGGUCCGCGCAUCUGCUAGGAUGCUGGCGUAAUGGCUGUAAGCGGCCCGUCUUGAAACACGGACCAAGGAGUCUAACAUCUAUGCGAGUGUUUGGGUGUCAAGCCCGAGCGCGUAAUGAAAGUGAACGGAGGUAGGACCCCGCAAGGGUGCACUAUCGACCGAUCCUGAUGUCUUCGGAAGGAUUUGAGUAAGAGCAUGGCUGUUGGGACCCGAAAGAUGGUGAACUAUGCUUGAAUAGGGUGAAGCCAGAGGAAACUCUGGUGGAGGCUCGCAGCGGUUCUGACGUGCAAAUCGAUCGUCAAAUUUGGGCAUAGGGGCGAAAGACUAAUCGAACUAUCUAGUAGCUGGUUCCUGCCAA
rnacentral:rRNA from 1 species